AACUGACGUUGAGGCACGAAAGUGUGGGGAGCAAACAGGAUUAGAUACCCUGGUAGUCCACACCGUAAACGAUGGAUACUAGGUGUAGGGGAUGAAUAAUCUUCUGUGCCGUCGCAAACGCAAUAAGUAUCCCACCUGGGGAGUACGGCCGCAAGGUUGAAACUCAAAGGAAUUGACGGGGGCCCGCACAAGCAGUGGAGUAUGUGGUUUAAUUCGAAGCAACGCGAAGAACCUUACCAGGGCUUGACAUAUACAGGAAUAACUUAGAGAUGAGUUAGCUCUUCGGAGUCUGUAUACAGGUGGUGCAUGGUUGUCGUCAGCUCGUGUCGUGAGAUGUUAGGUUAAGUCCUGCAACGAGCGCAACCCCUAUUUCUAGUUGCCAGCAUGUAAAGAUGGGAACUCUAGAGAGACUGCCGGUGAUAAAUCGGAGGAAGGUGGGGACGACGUCAAAUCAUCAUGCCCUUUACGUCCUGGGCUACACACGUACUACAAUGGCUAUAACAAAGGGGAGCGAAGGGGUAAUCUGGAGCAAAACCCAAAAAAGUAGUCUCAGUUCGGAUUGAAGGCUGAAAUUCGCCUUUAUGAAGCCGGAAUGCUAGU
rnacentral:rRNA from 1 species